UGGAGUUGAGCACAGAGGAUGCAAAUUAUUAUUCACAACAAGAGAUCUUGAUGUGCUGUUAAGGAUGGGAUCUGAAAAAAACUUCUCGAUUGGCAUUUUAAAUGAACAAGAAGCCUGGAGAUUGUUCAAGAUAAUGGCUGGUGAUUAUGUUGAAAAUCGUGAGUUAAAAUCUACAGCAACAAGUGUAGCCAAGGCAUGCGGAGGUUUGCCUAUUGCCCUAACCACAGUAGCAAAGGCACUGAGAAAAAAAGAGCUGCCUGUGUGGAAGAAUGCCUUGCAAGAACUCCAAACGCCUUCAGAGGCGAGCUUCGACGAAGGAGUACCAGCAGAGGCAUACUCAACAAUUGAGCUGAGUUACAAGUACUUAAGAGGUGAGCAACUCAAGAAAACUUUUUUACUGUGUAGUCUUAUUACGCCAGCACCAAUUAUGGACUUGUUCAAAUAUAGCAUGGGCUGGGGUGUAUUUAAAAGUGUCCACAAGCUAGAAGAUGCACAUAACAAAUUACAUGCAUGGGUCCAUCAACUAAGAGACUCUUGUUUGUUGCUUGAGGAUGGUGGCAGUAAAUACUUUUCUAUGCACGACGUUGUUCGCGAUGUUGCCAUUUCAAUUGCAUGUCGUGACAAAAUUGGAUUUGUGGUGACAAAUGAGGAUGAUUGGAAAUGGCCAAAUGCAGAUGAAUUAAAAAAAUAUCUUGCAAUUUCUUUAAAAGAUAGUAUUAUUAAUGACAUUCCUGAAGGGUCCGAAUCUCUACAACUUGAACUUCUAGUCAUGUCUCCCAAGAACUCUUUUGCUGUGCCUAAUAUUCCUGAGAACUUCUUCAAAAGGACGAAAAAGCUUCGGGUUUUGGAUUUUACUGGAAUGCGGUUAUUGUCAUUGCCAUCUUCAAUUGGUCUUCUAGUAAAUCUUCAGGCACUCUGUCUUAAUCAAAGCAUUUUGGGAGGCAUAGACAUAGCCAUUAUUGGAAAGUUGGAAAAUCUAGAAAUCCUCAGCUUUUUGCAAUCUGAUAUUGUAGAGUUGCCUAAAGCACUGGGUCAACUGACUAAGCUAAGGCUGUUAGAUUUAACAGACUGUUUCCGUCUGAAAGUUAUUGCCCCAAAUGUCAUAUCAAGCUUAAUCCGAUUAGAAGAAUUGUAUAUGGGUAAUUGCUCCAUUGAAUGGGAGGUUGAAAGAGCCAACAGCAAAAGAAGUAAUGCUAGCCUUGAUGAAUUGAUGCAUUUACCUCGGCUAACCACUCUAGAAAUUGAUGUUAAAAAUGAUAGUAUUUUACCAGGAGGCUUUUUGGCCAGAAAGCUCGAAAGGUUCCAAAUACAUAUUGGAAAUGGGUUAUUCACACAUCCCAUGCUUUUUAGACACAGAUGGUUUAAAAGUUGGCAGCACUUUGUGAUCGACAGAGAUCGCAAGAGUUUAAGAGCAUUGAAGCUCAAGCUUGAUUUUAUGGACAUUUGCUCCAUGAAAUUGCAGGGCAUCAAUAACGUUGAAUGCUUAUGGUUGGACAAGCUGCAAGGCAUCGAGAGUGUUCUUUUCAAUUUGGACACGGAGGGCUUUUCACAAUUGAAGCUUCUCUGGGUUCAAAAUAAUCCUGACAUCUUUUGUAUCGUCGAUUCCAGGGAGAUGGUCGCUUGUGAUGCCUUUCCUCUUUUGGAGUCACUUAUCCUUCACAACUUGAUCAACAUGGAGAGGAUAUGUAUUGAUCGGCUCAAAGUAGAGUCUUUCAACAAACUCAAAACCAUAGAAGCAUAUAGUUGUGAUAAAUUGAGUAAUAUCUUUUGGCUCUCUACUACAAAAUGCCUUCCAAGACUUGAGAGAAUUGCAGUUAUUAAUUGCAGCAAGAUGAAAGAGAUUUUUGCAAUUGGGGAAGAAGUUGAUAAUGCAAUUGAGAAGAUAGAGUUUGCUCAAUUAAGAUAUUUGAGUCUGGGGAAUCUUCCAGAGGUUACAAAUUUCUGCCGUGAAGUAAAGACUCCUUCAGCAUCACCAAACAGACCAGCGUCGCAGGAGGAAUCGACGACUACGUAUAGCUCCAGCGAAAUCACUUUGGAUACUUCAACUCUGCUUUUCAACGAGAAGGUGCGUAGGCUAACAUUUUCUUCAUAUAUAACAGAUUUUAUUCAUAUAAUUAAGAAAAUUGGUCAACUCAAAUGGACUUAAUCAUUUAAUUUUUCGUAAUUAAAUCAUUUAAAGAAUGGAAAGAAAAUGGAAAAAAAAGGAUAAAAAGAAUCUCACGCGCUCACUAAUUGAGCUCUUAACAAGUAGUAUGAAUUAGAAUGCAUACUCAGCUGUCAGUUGGAAAUUGAUUCAGACUUGCAUUAAUUUGUAAUCAAAGAAGAAAAUUUCAACAAGUGCUUCCCAUAUGGAUAUUGGAUCUAACGAGAAAUUCUUAUUUUUUUAGGUUGUGUUGCCUAACUUGGAGGCUUUGGAGAUAUAUGAAAUUAAUGUCGACAAGAUUUGGCACUACAAUAAUCUUCCGGUCAUGUUUCCUCGCUUUCAAAAUUUAACACGAUUGACUGUGCAUCGUUGUCAUAAAUUAAAAUACAUAUUUUCAGCGUCUAUGAUCGGAAGCCUUAAGCAGCUCCAACACCUAGAUAUACGACUCUGUAAGGAAUUACAGGAGAUCAUUUCUGAAAACAGAGCAGAUCAAGUGACCCCUCAUUUUGUCUUUCCACCGCUCACCACUCUGAGACUCGAUGGUCUACCAAAACUUAGAUGUUUGUACCCUGGAAUGCAUACUUCGGAAUGGCCCGCGCUAGAAAUUCUUUAUGUGUAUGGUUGUGACAAAUUAAAGAUAUUCGCUGCAGAUUUAUCGCAGAAUAAUGAGAAUGAUCAACUUGGUAUUCCUGCACAACUGCCCCCCUUGCCGUUGGAAAAGGUAUGAAGCCAUUUUCUAGAUUUUUUAUCAAUAGCUUAUUUUUAACUUUGAAAAAUAUGACAAAGUAUCGAUAAAUUAAUACUCAAUAAAUUAAAAACUUUUAUUAUACAAUAAUCUUUGUUAGUCUAGACUAAGGGAUCAAUGUGGUAGAUUAAUAAUUAUAUGAAUUGUUUUAGGUAUAGCAUUUGUAAAAGAAUCCUCAGUCUUUCCAUAUAGAAGAACUUACAAAAUAAAUUAGUAAUUUAUUAUUGUGCAAUAAAAUAAUUUCGAGCCUGUAUAAAUCAACAUUUUUUCCCUAAUUUCUUUUUUACCUCUAAAAUUAACAUAUAAAAAAUCAUUUAAUAAAUUUUAUCAAUAAUUCAAUCUUUUUUUUUUUUUUUGAGAAUGAUGAACUUGAUACUCCUGCACAACAGGCCCUAUUGCCGUUGGAAAAUGUAUGAAGCCAUUUUCUAGAUUUCUAUCAAUAGCUUAGUUUGAACUUUAAAAAAUAUGACAAAGCAUCAAUAAAUUAAUACUCAAUAAAUUGAAAACUUUUAUUAUACAAUAAUCUUUGCUAGUCUAGACUAAGGGAUUUAUUGAUAGAUUAAUAAUUAUAUGAACUUUUUUAGGUAUAGCAUUUAUAAAAGAAUCCUUAGAGCAUCACCAAAAGACUCUUUAAAUAAGAUUUUAUUACUUAUUUGAAGAGCCACAUCAGCAUUUAAAGUUCCAAAAGAUACUCCAAUUAAGAUUCUUCAAAUAAGAAAUGAUCAUCUCUCUUCAAAUUUGGAGAGUUGCAUUCCCCCUCUUCAAUUUAUAUUUUAUUACUUUUUGUUGGAGAAAGAGAGAGAGGUGUUUUAAUUACUAUUGACUUUUUAUUUUUUAAAAAUAGUUAUUUAAUUAAAAUAAUAUUAAUUCAUUUCUAUUUGAAGAGUCUUUUGGAGAAUAACAUAUUUUUUCACUUUUCUAUUUGCCACAUAGGUAAGCAAAUAGAAAUUUGAAAGAGUAAAAUUUAUAGAGCCUUUUGGAGAUACUUAGUCUUUCCAUAUAUAAGAACUUACAAAAUAAAUUAGUAAUUUAUUAUUGUGCAAUAAAAUAAUUUCCAGCCAGUAUAAAUCAAAAUUUUUUCCUUAAUUUCUUUUUUACCUCUAAAAUUAACAUAUAAAAAAUCUAAAAUAUAAUAUAAAACAAAUACUAUAAAGUCACUGCGUGUGAUUGGAUUACUUAAAAUCAUUUGAGAGAACAUCAAUUGACCUUAAUAAUUAUUAUGAUUGAUGAUGAUCAGAUCUUACCCAACUUGAAGGACCUAACAUUAAAUGGAAAAGACGUGAAGAUGAUUUUGCAGGCCGAUUUCCCCCAACCCCUUUUUGGCAGUCUUAAACAACUAAAUAUUGUUGGCGAUGACUCAGCUUGUUUUCCAAUCUGGAAUGUACUUGAGAGAUUUCACAGUCUCGAAAUACUCAUACUGUGUUAUUUUUCAUUCCACGAAGAGGUAUUUUCGAUGGAAGGAUGCUUAGAGAAACAUGUGGGGAAGUUGGCAAUGAUAAAAGAAUUACAGCUGCACCAGCACUAUCAUCUUGAGCAGCUGUGCAAACAAGACUCCAAACUUGGCCCCAUUUUUCAGUAUCUUGAAAUUCUAAAAGUAUAUGAUUGUCAAAGUCUGUUAAUUCUAUUGCCAUCAUCAUCGGUAUCUUUUCGGAACCUAACGGAAAUUGUAGCUUUCGGUUGCAAGGAAUUGAUACACUUGGUAACAUCCUCCACAGCAAAAACUCUAGUGCAACUCGUCACAGUGCGUAUGCGUGAAUGCAGAGCGAUGACAGAGGUGGUAAUAAAUGACAAAGAAGGAGUUGAAAAAGAAGAGAUUGUUUUCCGCAAAUUGAAGACGUUGGAACUGCGUGAUUUAGAUAGCCUCACAAGUUUCUGCUCUGCCAAUUACACCUUCAAAUUCCCAUCUUUGCAAGAUUUGUGGGUGAUUGGUUGUCCCAAGAUGAAGAUUUUCACUACAGGAGAAUCAAUCAUGCCUCUAAGAGUAAACGUCUGCUAUGGAGAGACAGCGGAUCAACGGCGCUGGGCUAAUAAUGAUCUAAACACAACCAUACAACAAUUACAUGCUGAGAAGGUACGUAUAUACAUAUUACUCUCUAUCUCCCAUGAUAAAUUUUUACAAAAUUUGCUUUCUUAAAUACAAUAUAGAUAAGAUAUUUUUUAUAAAGUAAAAGUUUAAAUUGAUGAAUAAGAAUUUUACUUUCAGCUGUUGGCGGUGUCGUCGUCAUACUCUACGCAGUACGACUAAUUUCAUAGGCUUCUUAUGACUUGGAGUUGCGAAUUUUUAGAAGAAAGUCUCAACUGGUAAUUAAUUUUUAUUUCAUUUAUUUAAUCCCAUGGCUUGUUUCGCAAUUUCAUCUGAAUUAUUUAGAAUGGAUCCCUCGGUUUACUGUUAAAUUUGCAAUGCAAUUUUAAUGAUCCUUUCAGACUUUUAUGGACAGAUUUUGCAUAAUUGAAUGUCUUUUUAGUCUAGUUUAAUUUGAGUCUUUUUUUUUUUUUUGGCGAGCUCCCCUCGUCUUCUAAAAUUUUGUAACUCCUUGCAUACGUUUUGAUGAUAAAAUUUCAUUAAAAGCCUUCGUAUUUUUUAAAUCCUUGAAAACGUGCAUACUUUUUCCUUUCUUUCUUUGCCAAUUAUUUAUCGUCAUCAUUGCUGUUCUUUUAUUUUACUUUGUGCUCUGUUUGUUCAUUGGGUUUGCUUUUCUUCACACCUAUAUUUCCUUGGAAAGUUAGAAGGCAAGGAAAGUACUUAGAAAAUGUUCUUCCCUAUGAACACAUAAUUAAAGAACAGCUGAAUAUCAUUAAUCGGAUUAAAAAAAUUAAAAAAAAAAAGUAAUCAGUGCAUAUUCAUAAUAUUUUCUCUGUUGUUCCUGUUAAAAUUUCUCUACUCUAUGAUUGCAGAAUGUUUGGAUACUGAUGAAGAUUUAAGUCACUCGUCCUCUGUGAAUAAGGUCGUUUUCCUUUUUUCCUCUAUUCAAAGUUUACAUUCUGAGGGGUUCCCGUUUCCAUCUUCGUGAUCUUCUUGUGAUUCACUGCAUUGUGUCGCUACAUCUGUGAUAGUGUGAGUUGCAACAUGUCUGUUUCCUUUGUUUGAUCAUCGCAAGUCCAAAGACAUUUCAUUCUAGCUAAGCUCUUUGUAUGUAUUAAAAAAAAUUUAUUCUCAAUAUAUAUGACUCAAUGAGUGGUCUUUUAUUAUAUAUAUGUCAUGAAUUUCUAUUGUAUUUUGAGAUUUGAUGGUGUAUUAUUGUCUCAUUGAAAGGUCUUGUAAUCACUCUGAUUCUCAUUUGAGGAGGUUGGUCUCGUCUAUGUGUAUGUAUUUAUAUCCACAAGAAAUUUGAUAAAUGGUCUUGUCGUUUUAUCAUUAAAACAUCUAGUGCUUCAUAGGUUGGAGGGCUACCAGGCAUCAGGGCCAGAUUUUUAAACUCAAAGUUAUUCGUGUCAUUUACCCAUUUGAUUAUCAAAUAGUCAUAAAAGCAUAUAAAUUCAAGUCAGUGUAUCAUUUGUACACAAUAUACUAAAACUAACACAAGAACUUGGCCGACAUUUUCAGUUGAAUAACUCAGACCCCCCUACUUCCUCGGGCUGACAGCCCAAAGUGAAAAUAUCUAAAAAAAAUAGUUUGCUCCACAUCUAUCUUUCCUAACUUAGGAAGGCAAGGAUUUUGAAAGCUUUGCUUGAUAAAAUCUGAAAGUUCUGAAGAAGAUUCAGGUCACUCGCGUGCAGCCUCUGGAAUAAGAGCUGUGUUACUGUUUAAAAGUUUUCAUGCUCUGGAAUAAAAUUUGCUUUACUGUGUUACUGGUCAACUUCAUUAUUCUACUAAUGCUUUACUUCAUCUUCAUUGUAUCACUACAUUGACAGCGUUGACAGUGUAACUAAAACCCUUGCGUUCACAAGCAAUUUUGAUCACAUUAAACUUUUAAGAAAUUAUCUUUUAUAGCCAUCUUCCAUAUUAUUAGGAGGAGUCGUUUUCACUAUUUUUAAGAAAUUUUGAUCACAUUAAACUUUUGAUCUGAGUUCAUAACAAAAAUCAAAACGGUGCAUGACAUCAAGAUUAUGAUGAAUCAAAUUGAACUCCCAAUAUGUUAGUUCAUAAAAAAUGCUUUUCUUCUUCCAAGUAAUCUUAUCAUUUCUUUCAUUUUAUUCAUUCUCCUCUUUUCUCCUCUUUUCAAGUCUUCAAUCUUAAGUACAUUACUGAACUGGUUUUUCACCUCGGCUCCAGACAACCGAGAAGGUGCUUGUCCCCACUCUCUAGUUUUAUCAGAUGGCACUAUAUUUUCGGAACCUAUGAUUUGUUGGUAAAAAUCGACGGUGACCCACGUGACAAUUUUCUACUAUGUAUCAACCAAUUAGAUCUAGUGUUUUGUUGGCAAACAAGAAAUGCUUAUUUACCUUUAAUACUCCACCCAAACAAGUUGGCAUAUGCUAGAAAGUCGGAGAUAGUCCAUAACAAUGCUGCGUGUGACUUGAACAUUUGAUUACGUGAUGCAUUAUGCACCAUUCCAACCAUACUAGCAUCACUACCCGAGUCAUGACUAACCUGUUUCUUAGUUAGAUUUCAAAGAUGAAGAUGGCUCACCCUCCAAUAUCCAGUUUUAAUACUUUAACCAAUAGCCAUUUAUAAUGAUAUGGUCUCUUGCCACUUUCCUUAUAAUGAAAUAUCGAUAUUACAACACCUCUUAGAAGGACAAUAAAUUCUUUUAUCACCAACAACAUUCUCAAAUGCAAAAUCUAUAAAUUUUUUGACCCCCAUCAGUAUAUGAAUUGGAUAUCUAUUUGGCAAACCAACCCAACUCUGGUCCAUGACUAUCUCCUUUUAUUGCACUAGAAAAAUUAGUUAAAUAAAUCACUUUAAUUCUUCAUUUCUACUACUAAACAAGAUAUUUUCAUGCGUGCGCAGUUUCGCAAUAUAAUAAAAAAAAUUAUUAUACAAUUUUAUGGUUUUAUAUAUAUGGAAGCAAGCAAAGCCACAAGAAUCAGAGAAAAAGAUGUGAAAAUUAAAGUAUAUAUACAAUAAUAAUUAAUCUAAAAAACAGUUUGCAAUACCUUCUGUAAAGAAAUAUCCUCACCCACAGCUGAGAACUUCACUUGGCUAUCAAUUACAGAUAUAUAAAGCCUGUUACCUAGAAACAAAAAAUUAGGUCAGCCAGCUGAAACAUAUUUAUAAACCAACAUUGGAGAUAGUACUCCAUUUAUAAAAAAAAUUACAAGACUCAAAACCAAGUCGACUCAGCAAAAUCAUAACCGAUUACAUUCAUCCCACUCAGCUCCUCCAAUAUAUCCAACAUUCCCUUCAUAUUUACAAAAGGUAAGUGGUCCUAUAUAUCCCACUCAAGAAUGCAUAAGUUUCUUCAAUCUUAAGUAUCUAAAGUUUUCCUCUACGUUUAUAGAAACUUCGGAAGCAUCUCCCUAUAGUUCUUCAAGUACACGACAUAGAUAUAUGAGUGUUUAUGUGUUAUGCCAAAACAAUACAUGACACCCAUUUGUCUAGUAUGCACCCAGAGAACAUGAGGAGCAGCUGCUGAAAAACCCAUUUUUACGUGGGAAAAAAAUUUCAGGCACUAGCUACCAUAGAAAUCUAUGCAUUACCAAACUGUCCAAGCCUAGAUAAUUCAAGAAUUAUUAAUAGACAUAAGAUCCUCACUAUCAUCCAAAAGAUGACACUAAUAAAACAUGUGUCUAUUAAUAAUUUCUUAAAGGAGUUUAAGCUUUCAAUGCAUGUAUCAAAAGUUUAAAAUUGAAUCUGAAACUUGAAUAACACAUAAAAAUCAUAAAUCUCUUCAAUUUAUUCCUAAUAAAAUGUAGCAUUUUUUCACAUUUCAUUUCUUAAGCAAAACCAUAAAAAAUUACAAACAACAAAUACAUUUUCUAGCACUGAUGCACAUUAUGUUUACUGAGCAAUAAGUUUUAAGUCAUUCAUAUUAAAAUACUUCUUCCUAUUCUAUCAACAAAUAACUAGUAUGUACACACAAUUAAUAAAUUAAAUGUAACCUGGUUGUGAAUCUUGCAAAGUCUUCCUAUUUGGUUUUUUUUUUUUUGGUGGUGGUUGGGGGGGGGGGGGGUGGUUAUGCUCAUUUGUAUGUUGUUAACAGAAAUUGAUCCAAAGCCUCCGUUUUAAUUAGCUUCAUUAUAGCCAAUGAUUAGGUGUUUAAAAACCAAUGAAUAUUUUUUAUAAGAAAUCAACAAUAUUGUUGAAAGAAAAACCAAAUAAAAAUAAUAAAGCAAUGCAUAGAUUAAGGCUCUUUAUUAUCUAAUAACUAAUCAAACUAAGUUGUGGGUAAAGGCGAAUAUGUUUGUUUGGCCAAUAAUAAACUCAAGGAAUCACCAAUAAUCACCUAGUUACUAUUCCUUAUGCCAUGCAAUGUAAUGGCGUCGGUAAUGGCGACAAGGCAGGCAAUAACUAGCUAGCUAGUUAUGAUAGUUGCUUAACUUAACCUACUGGAAAUCUGAAGACCAAAAUGAAGAAACUUUGUCUAGAACUAGAAUAGGAAAACAUUCAUACCCAAAACCAAUAUACAUGAUUAAGAAACUUGAUUAUAUGUAUAUUUUUGUUUGCCACACCAAAUCCCACUAUUUCCAUACUCAUAAGCACAAAAAACCAUCGCAAAAAUGAAUGACCAUAUAAAAUAAAAUAGGUCGUAGGACAUUGAGUAUAGGACAAUAUGAUUUAUGUACCGUAAAAUAACUAUAUCUGCAGUCAACUAUAUUUCUGUUCGAACUCUAAAGUUUUCCAUUAAAUUUUUUCCCCUGUUAGGUAAACCACUUAACUGAAACACUUAAGCAAGAUUGACAAUCAUAGACAUAAAAGUAUUAGGCUCGUUCAAGUGAAAUGAGCAUUAUUUGACAUAUCCUUUAGGCUUUUAAGUCAUUUAGAAGUCAUUCAUGUUAAACAAUUUCUUCAUAUACUUUCAAUAUAAUUAGUACAUACACAAUUAAUUAAUUAAAUAAAUCUGUUUCAGCUAGCACAGGAACUUAAGCAAUCAGAGCUAUUAGUUAUAGCUAGGACUUGAAUGAGGCACCUUUCAAAGUUCAAGAGGAGCAUCUGAACAGAAUGAAAGCAUUUUGUAGAAAUGGUAGUGAUGCUUUACAUCUACAUGCUCUUACACAAUAUGAACUUUCAUUUAUUCAAGAACAUAACACUAAUCCAAGCUCUUACUCUACAAGUCAAUUCAGUUUGUAGAUGCAAGCCAUUGUAAAAACUUUUGUGUUAUAAUUUCCGUAAAUGGAACAUGACAUUACUAAUAUAGAAUCAGCAAUGUUAUAUAACUUAUCAGACAAUAUAACAAGCACUUGGCGAGCAUAUAAGAUAAACUAAAACAAGUUAAUUAGAAAAUGAAACUAAAACCCAAGCUCCGCUAUUCAUUGUAGAAGCUUUAAACAUAAAAUAAAAGUAAAUCUAAAUACAUGAUUGUAAAACAUUAGAAUGAAUGUUGAAAUGAAAGCUAAAUUCAAUAGUAAUCCAAAUGAAUCCAUUUGAACUUUGUAAAUUCCGCAGAACAAAAUUAAUUUGAGUGAGCAAAGUCACCAAUGGAACAAGAACAGAAGGGCUUCAACUUCUAGGAACAAGAAAUAUUGCCGGCGGGACAAAAAUUGACAUUAAUGGUUACAAUACGAAUUAAAGAAAUCAAAACCUAUAAUUACAAGCUAAGAAAGAGAAGAAACUCAUAAUCACAAGCUUACCUGAAACGAUGAGAGAGAUAAUAAGAUGAAGAAGAAGAUCGCCGCCGUUUUACGCCAUUCUCCGGCUACCAGUAAGGUUUAGGAUGGCCAGGCACGCACGAGAGAGAAUUUGGGACUUUGGUUUUGAAAAUAUUGACUUCAGCAAAUAGUUUUCUAUUUAGAAACAAAUUUAUAACUCUACCGUCAAAAUAAUAGUAUGCCAAUUGGCUCUCUACCGUCACGUGGUUAGUAACAUAAGUGAGAGCAGUCUAGCAGAUAUUCCCGCGGGGACAUGACCCUCGAGAUUUUCCCAAUUCAGGAGGGUAUAUGAAUUGCUAGAGAUAUUUUGGCAAUUCUAAUUACAAAUGUUGCUUCUGAAUUAGUUUUUAGCACCAGUGUUAGAGUACUGUAACACGUUUUAUUCAAGCACAUUGGAGGCUUUAAUAUGUUGUCAAAGUUGACUACAAGCUUACAAUGGCAAUAUGAGUUUAUUUUACAUUGUAAUUAUAUUAUAUAAUUAUUAAUAUUUUCACUUAGAAUUUACAUUACUUAUAUUAUUUUUGUUGUUUUAAAUUUGAAAUCUGAGGCUAUCUCUCAAUUUGUCACAUUUCUCGAGGAAGAACAAGAAGAGUAGGAGACACAAGAGGUAAAUACUUUUAUUAGAAAUAUUGAUUAAGUAUCUAUAUUCAUUUCAUUUAUCUCAUUGUUGAUAUAAAAGUAAUUUCUUUUUUUUUUAUUAUAUGAUUUUGAAGAUUGCCGAAGAUAAUUAUUAUGGUGAUUUAUACUUUGUAAUGUGACUUUUGUAAUAGAUUAAUGUUAAUGUAAGAUAUAUCGUCAAACUUUAUUUUUAUUUUUUAUUUUAAUAUGAUUAAAUUAAAAUUUAAAACUAAAAACGUAUCAGUUAUUCGACAAUCGAGGACCUUUAAGGAUCCCCUAUUAUUAUUUGGGGAGGGGAGGGGGAUUCCCUAAAGUAAUUUUGUCGGGAAUGGGAAGAGGACAUGGAUAUAUGCAGAAUAUCGGGAAUGGGUACGGGGAGAUCAGUCUCUUCCCCUCCCCUUUCCAUUGCCAUUCCUAACAAAGUUGGCAAUACAUGUACGGGCCGCUUUUGUAAAAUUGCUUUAAGGGUCGUUUGGGAUUGCUUUUGGGAAUAGCAUGCAAGAUAUAUAUAAAAAAUAAAAUCGUAGAAUAACUUUUACCUCUAAUUCGAUUUUUUCUUCUUUUUUGUAAAUUAUUAUGCAUUUAUAUUAAAGUCACUGUGUAUGAUUGGAUUAUUAAAAGUUAUUUGAGAGAAUAUGAAUUGACUUAAUAAGUUAUUACGUGAUUGAUGAUGAUCAGAGCUUACCCAACUUAGGAGGAACGGGCAUUAAGUGGAAAAGACUCGAGGAUGACUUUGCAGAGCGAUUUCCCACAACACCUUUUUGGCAGUCUUAAACUACUACAAACAGUGAAUAUGAGAUUGUUUUCACCAAAUUGAAGAUUUUGUAUCUGUAUGAUUUGGGUAGUCUCACAAGUUUCUGCUGAUAGUCUCAGAAGUUUCUGCUCUGCCAAUUACACCUUCAAGGAAUCUUUGGAAGAUUUAUCUAUAAUUGGUUGUCCCAAGAUGAAGAUUUUCACUAAAGGAGAAUUAAACGCGCCUCUGAGAGUAAACUUCUACUAUGGAGAGAGAGAUGAUCAACAGCUUUGGGACCAAACUAAAUUCGUUAAUCAUUAGUUUUUAACUUCAUUACUGUAUGGAAGUCCUGUCAAAUUAAAUUGCUGCUGUUAAAUUUAUUAAAUCUCUUGCUUCCCUGCAAAUCUCUGUGUGCUUUAAUUUUAAUUGAAACUAAUGAAUGAAAAUUUUACUUUCAGCUGUUGGAGGGGUCCUCAUCUUAUUCAACGAUGUAUGUGUCCUAAUGGCAUUGGCAUUUUACUUUAAUUACAAGCGAGUUGUGAAUUUGAAAAACAAAGUCCCGGUUAAUUCAAUUUCAUUUCAUUUUAUUUGAUUUCUUGGCUUGUUUUAUUGCUUCAUCUAAAUUGUUUGGAAUACACCACUAGUUUAUUUUUACUUUUAGAAUGAGUUUUAAUGUUUUGUUAUGAGAUUUAUAUGCUUAUUUUAUAUCAUUAAAGGUCUUAGUGACUUAUCUAUUUAUUUAUUUUUAUAUCAUUAAAGGUCUUCACUUAUUUAUUUAUUUAUUUUUUUGACGGUGUGGCUUUAUAAUGUGCUAUUUUUUUUUUAAUUUUGAAUUUUAUAAUUCCUUGAAAAUGUCAUUGAAAGGCCCAGCACUUUUAUGUGGAAACCAUCUCAUCCUCUUUAUUUCGAACUAUUAAACAACCAAAUGUAUCCUAACAUAUAUGUUGAGAAUCAAUCUACUGAUUAAGAUAUAUGGCAAUGGUAUUGUCUGUUUGCUAUAGUUUGAUUACAAGAGAACUUUUCCAUUUGUUAGUUGCCAUCUUUGUUGAUCUGUUAAUUCAGUCUUCUUCUGUUUGUCCUGUUUCUCUGUUUAUUUCAACCUUUCUUUCAAAACUUAGAAGGUAUGGAAAGAGCAAGUACUUAGAAAUUGCAAGAAUUAUAUCAAAUCAUGCAUAUAUGCCCCUGCCUAUGAACUCUUAGGAACAAUCGAAUAUCUUUCCUUGAAUAACAUAAAACAAAAUCUACAGAUCAUUAAACCAUCAAAAGUUAGCUAUGAACAACAAUAUUGACCCCACAAAAGAGUUUUCUAUUUAGAAACAAAUUUAUAACUUUAAAAUAAUGGCAUGCCAAUUGGCUCUCUACCGUCACGUGGUUAGUAACAUAAGUGAGAGCAGUCUAGCCGUCACAUAAACAGUCACAAAAGCAACUGGCUGUUGCAAAGUAAGGGGUGGCAGAAAUUCCUGCAGUGAUAGGGAUUCUCGGAAAUUUUCUCCAUUUGGAUAGGAUAAAGAGAUAAUUUUUUAUUUAAUUUCUUAUGCAGAGAAGGGAUGAAAAUAAUUUUUUUAUCUAAUUUUUUAUUCGAAAAAAGGAUGAGGAUACAGCGGAAUCCUCAUCCCCUCCUAAUUUCUUGAUUUUAAUUUUAUUUUUAUUUUUAUUUUUUAAAUUAUUUAUAAAUAAAUAAUAAAAUGUAAAUUAUAAAAUAUUAAAUAUUAGUAUAAAUAAAAAAUAUCAAAAUAAUUAUAUUAUUAAACUUUAAGGCCUAACUUACUGCAUUAAUAUUUGGAUGAGAAAGUUAUCCUACGGAUGAAAGAUUUUAAUAUUUUAAGUUGGUGAAAAACAAAUGCUCAUAGGUAUCCUAUAUUGGCACGAAUUGCUGGAGAUAUUUUAACAAUUCUAAUUACAAUUGUUGCUCCUGAAUAAGCUUUUAACACAGUGGUAGAGUAUUGUAACACGCUUCAUUCAAGCACAUUGGAGGCUUUAAUGUGUUGUCAAAAUUAGUUACAAGCUUAAAAUGGCAGUAUGAAUUUAUUUUACAUUGUAAUUAUAUUAUAUAAUAAUUAAUAUUUUCACUUAUAAGUUACAUUACUUAUAUUAUUUUUAUUGUUUUAAAUUUAAAAUCUGAGGCUAUCUUUCAAUUUGCCACAUUCAUCGAGGAAGAACAAGAGGAGCAAGAGACGCAAGAGGUAAAUACUUUUAUUAGAAAUAUUGAUUAAGUAUCUAUAUUCAUUUCAUUUAUCUCAUUGUUGAUAUAAAAGUAAUUUCUUUUUUUUUAUUGUAGGAUUUUGAAAAUUGACGAAGAUAAUUAUUGUGGUGAUUUGUACUUUGUAGUGAGAUUUUUGUAAUGGAUUAAUAUUAAUGUGAGAUAUAUCGUCAAACUUUAUUUUAUUUAAAAUUUUAUUUUAAUACGAUUAAAUUAAAAUUAAAAACUAAAAACAUAUCAUUUAUUCAGGGAUCGAGGACCCACAGAGAUCCCCUAUUAUUAUUCAGGGAGAGGAGGGGAUUCUCUAAAGCAAUUUUGUCGAAGAUGGGAAGAGAGUAAGGAUAUAUGCAAAAUAUCGAGGAUAGGUACGGUGAGAUUGGUCUCCUCCCCAUUAUUAUCCCUAACAAAGUUGGUGAUACAAGUAACGGCCGCUUUUUGUAAAAUUGUUUUAAGGGCCGUUUAUGAUUGCUUUUGGUAAUAGCAUGCAAGAUAUAUAUAAAAAAUAAAAUGGUAGAAUAACUUUUACCUCUAAUUCGAUUUUUUCCCCUUUUUUUUUGUAAAAUAUUAUGCAUUUAUAUUAAAGUUACUGUAUAUGAUUGGAUUAUUAAAAGUUAUUUGAGAGAAUAUGAAUUGACUUAAUAAGUUAUUGCGUGAUUGAUAAUGAUCAGAGCUUACCCAACUUGGAGGAACGGGCAUUAAGUGGAAAAGACUCGAGGAUGACUUUGCAAAGCGAUUUCCCACGACACCUUUUUGGCAGUCUUAAACUGCCACAAACAAUGGAUGAUGCCUCAACUUGUUUUCCACAUGGUUUACUUGAGAGAUUUCAUAAUCUGGAAACUCUCAUACCGGGUCGUUGUUCAUGCGAAGAGGUAUUUUCAAACGGAGGAUACUUGAGAAAACAUGUGAGGAAGUUUGCAAUGAUAAAACAUUUAGAUCUGCACAAAUUUAAUCAUCUGAAGCAAUUGUGGAAACAAGACUCCAAAUUGCACUUCUUUUUUCAAUGUCUUGAAAUUCUAAAUGUACAUUUUUGUCAAAAUCUGUUAGGUCUAUGGCCAUCAUAUCAUCGGUAUCUUUUGGGAAUGUAAAAGAACUUCUAGUUCUUUUUGCAAGGAAUUGAUGAGCUUAGCAACAUCCCCCACAGCAAAAAGUCUAGAGCGACUCUUAUCAAUGGUGGUAUGUGGAUGCAGAGAAAUGAGAGAGGUGGUGAUAAAUGACGAAGAUGGAGCAGCAAAUUUAAAAGAAGAGUUGUUUUCACCAAAUUGAAGAUUUUGUAUCUGUAUGAUUUGGAUAGUCUCAGAAGUUUCUGCUGAUAGUCUCAGAAGUUUCUGCUCUGCCAAUAACACCUUCAAAUUCCCAUCUUUGGAAGAUUUAUUUUUACUUUUGGAAUGAGUUUUAAUGUUUUGUUCUGAGAUUUAUAUGCUUAUUUUAUAUCAUUAAAGGUCUUAGUGACUUAUCUAUUUAUUUAUUUUUAUAUCAUUAAAGGUCUUAAUUUAUCUAUUUGUUUAUUUUUUUUGACGGUGUGGCUUUAUAAUUUGCUAAUUUUUUUUAAUUUUGAAUUUUAUAAUUCUUUGAAAAUGUCAUUGAAAGGCCCAGCACUUUUAUGUGAAACCAUCUCAUCCUCUUUAUUUCGAACUAUUAAACAACCAAAUGUAUCCUAACAUAUAUGUUGAGAAUCAAUCUGCUGAUUAAGAUAUAUGGCAAUGGUAUUGUCUGUUUGCUAUAGUUUGAUUACAAGAGAACUUUUCCAUUUGUUAGUUGCCAUCUUUGUUGAUCUGUUAAUUCAGUCUUCUUCUGUUUGUCCUGUUUCUCUGUUUAUUUCAACCUUUCUUUCAAAACUUAGAAGGUAUGGAAAGAGCAAGUACUUAGAAAUUGCAAGAAUUAUAUCAAAUCAUGCAUAUAUGCCCCUGCCUAUGAACUCUUAGGAACAAUCGAAUAUCUUUCCUUGAAUAACAUAAAACAAAAUGUACAAAUCAUUAAACCACCAAAAGUUAGCUAUGAACAACUAUAUAAAAAUCAUUUGUUUCUCACCUUUUCGUGAGUCUGAGAAGUUGUAAAUUCUACUGAGUUUCUCACCUUUUUUUUGACAAUUGGAGUUUUUAGUUUAUGAAAUUUAAUGCCUAUAUUUCUCACAUUGUAGAAGUGUUUUGAAAAGAUGGUUUAUAUUGCACCAUAAAAAUGUGGUCUGAUAAACCAACAGGGGAGUAGUUUGAUCCAGUUACGUGAAAUGCAUGCAAAAUAAUAUUUUCUCUAUAGUUACUGAAGAGAAUUUUGGUCACUCUGGUGUGCAUUAUCUGGAAUAAAGUCGUUUUCCAGUUUCUUCAAAGUUUAUGUGCGGAGGACUUCCGGUUUCCAUCUUUAUGAUAUUCUUGACAUGCACUUCAUCCUGUCUCUCAAGUUCAAAUACUAAUAAAGAUGAGUAAAUUCAUCAUCCGUGUGUCUGCUCUUUCUAUGCAUUUUGACAUUUUUUAUUAAUGCGUCUCAAUGAGAUAUCUUGAUUAUAUGUAGCGAAUUAAUAUUCUGGCGUUUUUUGAGAUUUGAAGACGUAAUAAUUUCUCAUUGGAAAGCCUUUAAUUAUUGAUUUUCAUCAAAGGGGAUUGGUCUUGAAUGCAAAUGAAAUUUGAUAAAGGACCUUGACAUUUUUUAAAAUCAUCUAGCCUAGUAGUACUUUAUGUGUUGGAAGUGUCCCAGACCGAGAAAGAUUUCAACUUGGAGGAAUUGACAUAAAGCAAAAUGGUCUUCAUCAUCAUUUGUAUGGCAGCAGGGCCAGCUUCGUAAACUGUCAUUUUCCACGAACCAGCUGUUUUUCAAGUUGGAUUGCUCCGGAAUACUCACAAUCUGGAAAAGCUUGUAACCGUACAUAGAAAUAUUUUCACGUGCGGAGGUUGGGGAACGUGCUGAGAGGCUCACACAUAAAAACCUUAAAAGCUAAAAAUGGACUUUGGUGCAUUAAAAUUUUUAAAAUAUAUCAGAAGUAUCAUAUCAAUCAUACGAUAAGUAGAUAAUGUUAUAACAUGUGUUUAUUUAUUCUGAAAAAUUACUAAUCUGUAAUGUAUUUUAGAAUUCCUCCUGGUGGAUAGUGGAGCACUUAUGGAAAACAGAUUCCAUUUAUUUCUUCAAAAUCUUGAAAUUCUAAAGGUAUAAAAAUGUCGCCACAAUUUGAUAAAUCUUGUACCAUCCUCAGCAUCUCUCCGAAAUCUAACAGCAUUUACGCGGCUGUGCGGGACGAAUAAGCUAAUUAGUAUUUACUAACCCCAAACAAUUGAGAAGGAUACUAAAAUUUGGACCCUAUCACUUCAUUCGGUGUAAAUAACUAACUAAAAGUAGAUAAAUAAAUAGCUGAAAAUAUCACAAACUAUUUUAAAUUGAUUAUUAAAGUAAUGGAAUAUAUUAAAAUGAUAUAUAUAUAUGCGAGCGCGCGCACGUAUGUAUAUAUAAAAUAAAUAAUAUAUAUAGUCCUUUUUUGGUACAGACGCGUUCAUUUUUUCAUGCUAACAUGCUUUUAAGCCGUACAAUUUAAGAGAGCUAGUUGAAAGUUAGUUUUUAAUGUUAUUAAACCCUACGGCUUAAAAGGGUGUUUGCAUUAAAAAAAAAAAGAGAACACUAGCACCUAAUAAUGAUUAUAUAUAUAUAUAUCAAUUCAAGAUUUUAAAGUGCAAGAAAGUCCAAAAAAACUUUAAACAGUGGGGUUUUAAAAAUUUUCCGGACCUUUCUUGCACUUUAAGAUCCCGGAGGCUCUUGAUUAAAUCUUCAUCAUACUUGGAGAAAAUUAAAAAUGUAUGGAAGGAUAUUUUCAAGCUUGGUAAGGUCAAAUAAUUGUGGAGUUAAAAAAUUGAAUGAUGGGCAAGUUCAAACUACAAUACAAUUUAGAAACUUUUAGCGAAAAAUAAUAAGUGGAAAAACUUUAAAUUUCAUACAAAUAUGAAAUAUGUAUUAUGGGCUUGGCUAAGUUACGGUUUGUGUUAAUUUAAGGUUCAUGUAACUAACAACUUUAAUGAUAAAAUUGAAUAUAACAGUAGUUUUUUUCACAGAAAAAAUUAAAAAAAUAUAUGUAUUUUGGGCGAAACUUUUUGCGAAAAAUAAUGAGUGCCACGCUUUAUAACUUAAUAUGUAUUUUGGGCUUGGCGAAGUUACGGUUCAUGUAAUAAUCAAUUUAAUCAUUACCGGAUAAAAUUGAAUACACCAGUAGUGUUUUUCCGCGGAGAUAUCGCCAAAUUUUGUGUCAAAUAAAGAAUAAAAACCAUAAAUACCAGUAGUGUCCGAUUUUGAAAGCAAAGCAGCAUACAUAUUAACUACUAGGCUUUGAUGGUGGUUGCAGUAAAAAGGAUUAAAAGAGAGAGAGAGAGAGAACUUGAAAACUAUGGAAUGGAAGAUAAAUCAAAGUUAUAAAUUUGGACUCAAUAGUUUUGAUGUUCAAUCAAAUAUGGAGGGGCGAUUAGAAAUUAUCAAAAAUUUAGAGGGAUUUCAACCGUUCAAUUCAUUAUUAGGCGUUGUAGACUGCGGGGAUGCAGAAAUUUCCACAGGGACGAUGGCCCCGAGGGAUCUUCCUCAUUCGGGAGUUUGAUAAUUUUAGAUCUAAUUUUUCUAUGUGGAGACAAGAAUCUGAUAAAUUAAUAUGUGUGGGUGUAUAAUUUAGUGUUUGCCCUAAUAUUUUAUUUGGCUCCACAUUUUUCUAUUUCCAUCUUUAGUUUCUAUUUUUAAUUCUUUUUUUUUUCAAAUUUAUAGUAAAUACAUUUAAAAUUUCAAUUGUAAUAGUGUGAUGUAAAUAAAAAAUAUCAUAAUACAUUUAUAAAAAUAAUAUAAAUAACAGCCAAUAUAAAGUAAAUAUAAACACUUUAAAAUUGACAAAGAUAAUUUAAUUGAUGGUUUAUACUAUAUGACAUUUAUGGAUGAGUUCAACUUUGAAGAUUUACUUUUGCUUAAUUAGUUCAAAGAUUAUCUUCUCAUUUGAUGACAUUGACUUAAUUUGAUGGAAAUGAUUUUAAUCACUUUAGUUAAUUUGAUAUUUUUUGUGUUAAUAUGAUUUUAUAUUUUUACUUUAAGAUGAUUAAAUUAAGAAAAAAAAGAAAUUAAAUAAUCAGAGAUCGGAUGCCAUAAGAGAUCCCUUUGUAUUAUUUAGAAACAUCCAUCCCCUCGUUUCAAGUAAUUUUGAAGGAAAUGUCUAGAGUACAAAGAGAUAGACAGAGUAUUAAAGAUGAGUAUGGGGAAAUCAAUCCCCUCUCCUUCGCAUCUUAUUGACAUCCUUACAUAUGAGCCCAAGGGGAAAUGCACCGUGCCUGAUAAAAGUAAAAUUAAAAAUAAAAAAUUUCUUUUAUCAAAUCAUUCUAUGUGGUGGAGAUUAUUGUAUAAUCAAGUACACAUGGCAUUUUUAAAAGCUUUUUCUUUAUUUAAAGCUCUAAAGGUCUGCCUAAGAGUCAAGGUUGGUGCCGUUCUUCUAGAAGAACAACCCGUAUCUUUUGAUAUUCAAAGUUUGAAUAUCAAGUUCAAACUUUAAAUUUUGAAAUAAUAAUAAUAAUAAAUAUAAAAAGUGCCCAAAUUUUUAGCUAUAAAUAGAGGGGUUCACCCCCUCAUUUCAUUCAUUCUAUUCUUUUCUUCUUUAGUUCUAUAAUGAGAGAUUAAGAGUUUUAUACUCUUGAGUGACUAGUGUUUGGAGAGAUUGGGUGUAUUAAGGUUUUGAGAAGUGAAACAAAAUACUAAAAUACUUAUAAUCCUCAUUUCACUAGUAAAGUUUUAUCCUUUUGUCCUUACCUAUGGGCAUAAGUUAAAAGUCGAACCAAAUAAUUUAUGGUGUCCUCAGUGUGCUUGCUCUUCAUUUUCUUCCAAUUUCAUUUUACUCGCGGCCCUACUUCACAAAUUAAUUUUCUAAUAGUGGUAUCAGAGUCGGGUUGUAUUUUUUGGGGUCAAGAUACUGUUUACAUAUAUUGUACUGUUCAUGUAUAUGAUAUUGUUUCUGUAUACAACACUUUAUUCAUAUAUACAGUUACUGCUCAUAUGAAAUGGUAGGAAUCGAUCUUAGCAAAGGUAGCUCGUGGUGAACAAUGAUGGCGGAAAAAUACAAAAUUGAGAAGUUCAACAAAAAUAAUUUUUCGUCAUGAAAAAUGAAGAUGAAAGUUGUAUUGAGGAAGAGUAAUUGCUUGGCAACAAUUGAAGAGAGGCUCACAAAGAUAACUGAUGAUGACAAGUGGAAUGAGAUAGACAAUAAUGCCAUUGCAAAUCUGCACAUACCACUUUCAAAUAAGGUAUUAUUCAAUGUGGUAGAGUAAAAGAGAGCAAAGGAAAUAUGGUUUACUCUCACAAGACUAUACGAGGUCAAAUCACUACAAAAUAAAAUCUUUUUAAAGAGGAGGCUUUAUACUCUUCGAAUGACGGAAUCUACAUCAGUGAUCGACCAUAUCAACACUUUAAAGACUUUAUUUUCAUAACUUACAACGUUGGGUCAUAAAAUAGAGGAAAAUGAUCAUGUAGAGCUUUUACUUCAAGGUUUACCAGAUUCGUAUGAUUAAUUCGUCAUUAAUCUAACUAAUAACAAUCGAGCAAACAAGUUAGUCUUUGACAAUAUGGCAGCCUCCGUAUUAAAUGAGGAGAGUAGCAAAAAAUAAAAAAGAUAGACAGACAAGUUCGCAGCAAGUAGAAGCGCUAUUGAUGAUGAAAGGAAGAUCCAUGGAACGUGGCCCUAGUGAGAGCCACAAUCACAGUAGAUCGAAAUCAAGAAGUAAGAAGAAUGUUAAAUGCAACAACUGUGGCAAGAAAGAGCAUGUCAAGGAAGAGUAUUGGAACAACUAGAAGAGAAGAGAGGGUAAAGAUCCUGAGUCAUCAAAUGCUCAAGGGUAUGUAGUAAGUACCUCGUAUAAUGGAAAAAUUCUCUACAGUAAGGCAACAACUGCUUCAAAAGGCAGAAAACCACUAUAUGACGUCUGGCUUAUAGACUUAAUAGUUGUUUGGCACAUGAUCUCUCCAAGAGAAUGAUUUCACAAAUAUGAACCUAUUUCAAGAGAAUCUGUAUACAUAGGUGAUAAUCAUGCCUUUGAGAUCAUUGAUAUUGGUACUGUCAAAAUAAAUAUGUUUAAUGGUAUGGUUCGCACAAUUGAGAAGGUAAGACAUGUCAAAGACUUGAAAAAUAUCUCUUGUCUUUAGGACAAAUAGAUAGCCUUGUGCACAAAACUCAUGUAGAAAAUGGGAUCAUAAAGAUAGUCAAAGGCACACUUGCAUUAAUGAAGGUGGAAAAGAUCGGUGCUAAUCUAUUCAUGCUUAAAUGGAAACACUACAGAAAGCUUUUGUGUGUGUCACAUCAAAUAGAGAAAAUUCAGCGAUGAUGUGGCAUCUUAAACUUGGCCACAUGUCGAAACAAGGAAGCAACAUAGAUGAAAGUUUAGCAGAUCCACUUUCAAAAGUAAAUGUAUUUUAGACUUGAUUCAUUCUAAUGUUUGGGAAUCAAUUGAUAUAUCUAUGGGAGGUGCAAAGUAUUUGGUGACUUUUAUUGAUGAUUAUUCUAGGAGAUAUUUAGUGUAUCCAAUCAAGAAAAGGUCAAAUGUAUUUCCAUUGUUCAAAGAAUUCAAAGAAUAGAUUGAACUUAAAUCAGGGCAAGGGAUCAAGUGCCUGAGGACAGACAAUGGUGGAGAGUAUACAGAUAGCAUGUUUCUUGCAUAUGUAAGUAAGAAAGUAUCUAGAGAUAAUUUACAGUGGCAUACACUCCUCAAUAAAAUAGAGUAGUAGAGUGAAAGAACAUGACUCUUAUAGAAAAAAUAAGAGUUAUGUUGAGAACUGCUGGUCUACCAACUCAUUCUAGGCGGAAGUAGCAAAAACUACUUAUUAUGUGGUAAGUGGGUCAUCAUUCAAGGCAAUCGGGUUGAAGAUUCCAAUGGAAAAAUGGACAGGAAAGCCAACUGAUUACUCUCAUCUCAGGCAUUUUGAUGUCCUUUUACGUGAUAUACGAUACCCAAGUGAGAUUAAAAAUGGAUCCAAAAUCCAAGAGAUGUAUCUUCUUAGAAUCUAUUGAUGGAGUGAAAGGGUAUUAUCUGUGGGACCUCAAUGCCCACAAGAUCGUUAUUAGCAGAGAUAUUGUCUUUGUAGAAGAUCAAAUGCAAAAGAGAGAUAUGGAUGAUAGCACUAUUAAAAUUUAGAGAUUGUGCUAAUAUAUGUUGAAAAUAAUCUGGAAAAUGAAGAUUCAGAUUUUUUUGAAGCAGCACCAAAGUAUGAGAACAAGAACCAAUCAAGUCUGAGGCCCCAAAAGUUUGUUGGUCAACUCGUGAUAGAUAAAUGUAUGUGUGGCAUUUGGAUUAUGUCACAGAUAUCAAUUUUGCAUACUGUCUUUUAAUAGAGAAUGGAAAGCCAUCAACUUUCUAUGAAAUUUUAAACAGCUCAGAUGUUACUUUGUGAAUGAUAGCAAUGCAGGAAGAAAUUAAGGCUCUACACAAGAUUAUGACAUAGGAACUCGUACUACUACCAUAUAAAAAAAAACCAUUGGUUGCAAAUGGGUUCACAAGAUCAAACGUGAUGGUAAUAACCUAGUGGAGCGAUAUCGUGAAAGAUUGGUGGUGAAAGAAUGUAUUAACGUCAAUGAGAUAUUUUCUCCAGUGAUUUGACCCAGGACAGUCAGAGUGGUCUUGUCGAUGUGUGCUACAUUUGACCUAUAUUUGGAGCAGUUAGAUGUGAAAUUUUCAUUUCUUCAUGGAGAACUUGAAGGAAAGAUUUAUAUGCUCUAACUAGAAGGUUUUACUAAAAAGGGACACUUGGUUUGCAAGUUGAACAAAUCUCUAUACGAUCUCAAACAUGCACCGAGAUGUUGAUAUAAGAGAAUUGGUCAUUUCAUCAUAAACCUUGGAUACAAUAGAAUCAUUUCAUACUGUUGUACAUAUUACAACAAGUUUUAUAAUAAUGAUUUCAUCAUUCUACUGUGGUAUGUGGAUGACAUAUUGGUAGCAAGCCCCAACAAAGAUCGAGUCCAAGAACUGAAGGCACAGUUAACUAGGGAGUUUGAAAUAAAAGACUUAGAACCAGCAAACAAGAUUUUAGGGAUGCAAAUUCACCGAGAUAGUAAUAGCAAGAAGAUUUGGCUUUCUACCCCGCUUCUUAUUAAUUUCAAGUUAUUCUUAAGUAUUCAUCUAGUAAUGAAGUAGAGAAGAAGAGAUGUCUUGAGUACUGUAUGCAUCAGCAGUGGAAAAUUUAAGGUUUGCUAUGAUUUGUACAAGUAGUGGGAGCAGUUAGUCGAUACAUAGCGAAUCCUUGCAAAGAACAUUGGAAGACUAUUAAGAGGAUUCUGAGAAAUAUCAGAGGAACAUCAGAUGUUGCAUUAUGCUGCGAAGGAUUAGAAUUUACUGUCAAGGGCUUUGUGCAUUCAGAUUUUGCAGAAAAUCUUAAUAAAAGGAAACCCACUACUGGCUAAGUAUUUACACCAGAAGGCGAAAUUGUUAGUUGGAUUUCAAAAUUGCAGACCAUUGUGGCUUUAUCAACAACAGAAGCAGAUUACAUAGCAGCUACACAAGCUUGGAAGGGCUAUUUGGAUACAAAGGUUACUGAAAGAGCUUGGGCAUAAAAAUUUUUAUGGUUUGUGAUAGUUAGAAUGCAAGGAAUCCAACCUUUUAUUUCAGGACAAAGAAUAUAGGAGUACAAUAUCACUUCUUCGUGAAGUAGUGAAAGAUACAAGAGUGGAUACCAAGGAGAACUUAACAAAUGUUUUGCCCAAGCCUAUCAAUGCUGAUAAAUUUGUUUGGAGUAGAUCAUUUUAUGGCCUAGUAGAGACAUAAGCAACAUGAUAGCGACGAAGCAGAAAGGAUGGUGUGGAGAUUGAUUGAUUCUCAAUCAAAUUUCUAAGUGGGAGAAUGUCAAAGUCAAUGUCACUUUUCUAGAAGAGUGACCAAUACCUUUUGAUAUUCAAAGUUUGAAUGUCAAGUUCAAACUUUUAAUUUAAAAAAAAUAUAUAAAAAUAUAAAUAGUGCCCAAAUUUUUAACUAUAAAUGAGGGGUUCACCCCUGCAUUUCAUUCUUUUCUUCUUCAAUUCUAGAGUGAGAGACUAAGAGUUUUAAUGCUCUUGAGUGAUUAGUGUUUUAAGAGAUUGAGUGGAUUGGGGUUCUAGGAAGUGAAACAAAAUAUUAUAAUACUAGUAAUCCUCAUUUCACCAGUAAAGUUUUAUCCUUUUGUCUUUACCCGUAGACGUAGGCUAAAAGUCGAACCAUGUAAUUUUUGGUGUCCUCUAUGUGCUUGUUCUUCAUUUUCUUCCAAUUUCAUUUUAGCUGUGAACCUACUUCACCAGUCAAUUUCCUAACACUGAUAGGGGCGGAUCUGCAUUGGGAGUUAAAUAUAUGAAAUUUUAUUAAUUUAUGACUUUUUCUAAAAUUUAUUUUUUUUGUGACUUAUAUAUGAUUUUUAAGCAUUUACAUUUGAAUAGAAAAAGUAACUUUUGUGACUUUUAUUGAAUAGGAAAAAGUCUAAAUAAGAAUUAAAUAUAUAUUCUAAAAAUAUUUUUAUAAAAUAUAUUUAUUUCUUAAACUAUAAAAUCUAACUACUUUUUUUUGUUUUUAUUUGUAAAAAUAUAAAUAUCAAAUAACCAUAUUUAAGAUAAAUAAGAUGUCACUUAUAUUUGGGUAUUAAGAAAAAGAAAAAUAAAUAUAUCAUUCAUAUAUUUGUACUCAGCUCAUUCAUGCUUACGAAAAAUUUAUACCUAUUCAGAUUAUAAAAACAAACAAACAAAUAAACAAACGCCUUAGCCUAGCGUGGGCAAUUGACUUUACUGAAAAAUAGUUUUCAUUUAAUUUUAUUUUAAUUUAUGGAAAAUUUUUCUUUUAAUGUGGCAAUUUCGUAGACGACUUUCUUAGUGGGAUUAAUUUUAUAACGCAAGUUUAUUUUUCUCACAUUUGAAAUCUGUAAUUGUUUUUAUUUUUAUUCAAAAGAUUAUCUUAUAAAUCAAUCUCCAGGCUCCGCCCUUAUUUCUAAGUAUGAGACGUUCGCAUCAUUAAAAAUGGGGAAGCAGCAACAACCUACUGGCCAAUAGUAUAGGAUAGGAGUUAUUAAUGCAUAUCAGCUAUUUGGUGAAAUGCUCACAAGAAAUGGAAAUUUGACAUGUAUGCAUUUCUCGAACUUUACCAACAAAACUUUUAUAAAAGCAUAUUUGUGAAUGAUUUUCCUGAAAUUUAAUGUUUAUCAUCUCCAAUCUUUUUACUCCUCCAGUCUUGAGUAAUUAUGGUGUUGCCACCCAUGCAUGCUUAUAGAUGCUUUGGUUCCUGAGAUAAUUAGUUCAUCAAAUUAGCAGCCUUAGCCUUAUAUUUGCAUUUUAUUUUUGUCAACGUUAACUGGUUAAAUUGAAUCAGUAGUGAAACUGAAAUGAAAGUAACUGAAUGACCCGAAUUUAAAAAUAAUAAUAAUUUUGUCAACUAAAUGAUCCUUCUGUUUGCUUUAGUAUUAUUUUUUUCCCCCUUAUCAAUUCAAGUUUGAAAGACAAGCAAUGUAUAUACCUAAACUGAAGUUUAUGGUUUCUCCGUGCUCCUUGUAUUACAAGUAUCAAAGCUGUGACUUCACAUGAACCUUAGCAGAAGCUUCUGUGAUAUUAUUUAUGUAGCUUUUAACUUUAACAAAAGCAUAUGGAUUUUUAUUUUUUGACUUGAUUUGCCAAGAUGACGAUGAGUGGAAUUCAAUUCAUUUUCUAUUUUUGUAUUUUUUUUUUUUCAUUCUUUAAAACCAAUAAUUGUGUUUUGUUGUUGCAAUUUAAUACAUCAAUAACAUUUAUUGAAAAAUUGGCUAAAUUAAAAUGUGUUAACAUAAUGUACAAAGUAAAAUGCAACUUAUAAUUCAUAAAAUUUUAGAUGCUGAUCAGUCUAAAUAGAAAGGAUGUGUUUCACCUACUCUGUUUUGUACUAAUAAUCAACUACGCUUACCAAAUAAUAAUCUUUCUGCAACUGUCUGGGGGUGACUUUAUUCCCAUCCCUUGAUCUUUAUUUAUUUAUUCUUUGCUUCACUUCUGAACUUAGCCAAGGAACUUGAACUUUGGCUUUUCAAAUGGACUAGUUUUAGCUUUUAAUCUCGGCCAUGAUCUUCAUUGUGAAGAUGACGAACUAUUAUUCUUUUAUUCUUCACUUGUUGAAGUUACGAAAUAUAUAACUUUCUCAAAAUUUUAGCAAAUCGUUAUCCGUCAGCUUCAGAACCUCAUUAAAAAGUCAUCCUUUGCACUCGUUCUCAAUCAAGAAACACAUAUGCUCCCUUUUGCUGUCAACUCACUUGAAUUUCACUGGAUGAAGAAACCCUUUUCUCUUGGCAUCUGUUCUGUUGUAAUCUCCAGUCUUUGUUAAUUUGUUUCUCUCCAUUCCCAAUCUAGUUGUGGCAUGUUGUUGUCUCUGUUUGGUUCCAUAUCUACCCUUUGUACUUCCGCCGUGUGAAGAUAUAUCUUUUUCUCCAUCUCUUUUACCAGUCAAUAGCGCGUGUUUGGUAACGGAAAAAGGAGGAAAAAAAGGAGAGUGGGGGCAUUACUUUUAUCUCAUCCUUAACUUCCGAAAGUGGGAGAGAACAAGGGGGGAAAGAGGGGAGUGGGGAGUUAGCUAGGGGGGCUUUUUGGGCUCUCUUCCUCUCAUGGAAAAUUCUUUCUUUGACACUCUGCUUUACUUUCUGUAAAUUACUCGAAAAGCCUUGGGUUUUAAGGCAAUGUUUAUUAAGCCACAUGAGUGGUGGCACAAGUUUUUCCGAAAGGCCUAGAAACUAACUUGAGUGUCGGAGGGUUCACGCCGGAAAAACUUCCGGCGCCUCUAACCUUCUUCUAUGAUUUCAGGUAUUCCUAGGUUAAUCGCUAGUGGUUGCAGGACAUCUUGACGAUUGACCAAUCGAUUCUCUACCAAAUAAAUCUAAUACUGGUGUAGAAAUCUGACAUUAAGUCGCUGAUAGACUAGAUCAGAUUUGGGCAUCAACAGCGCGGUUGUUGUCUCUAAUAUUGUUUGCAUCUUUCUUCUGGUCAAUACAUAAGUUAUUUUGACUGAUUCACUUUUCCUCUAUUAUCUAAAUCAUUCCUUAUAUCAAUUCAAUCACUUUUGAACUAGAAACCUUUUCCUUGUUUCCAUCUUCUCACCAGAUUCACAACAGUUUUUAAGCUUUCUUUGAUUUCUCCGCUUCCACAACCAGAUACACUUGUCAUCUUUGUUGUUUCAUUUUCUUUUUUUCGUUUUUCUUUUUUUUUUUUUUUGCCUCUCUUUCUCUUUGUGUUUCGCUCGUCGUUUAUUUUCAUUUCGGAACUUUGAAAAAAAGAGGAUCGAAGAUGGUGGAAAGCAUUGUUACUGUUCUGUUAGAAGUUGUGAAAUGCUUCGCUCCUCCAACAGAACGCCAACUUUGUUAUUUGCGUAACUAUAAAGCCAACUUUGAGAAUCUCAAGGCAGAAAUAGACAAGCUCAAGGAUGAAAGUAAGAGCAUUCAGCACAGAGUUUCUGAGGCUGAAAGAAAAGGAGAAAAGAUUGAAGAGAAGGUUGAGAACUGGCUGGUUAGUGCGAACAACACCAUUGAGCAGGCAGCCAAAUUCAUUGAAGAUGGGGAGACAACAAGUAAGCGAUGUUUCAAGGGCUUGUGUCCUAAUUUCAAGACCCGCUAUCAGCUUAGCAAGAAAGCAGAAACAGAGGUGAAGGCCCUUGUUGAACUCAAAGAAGAAGCUAGGAGAUUUGAUGAUAGAAUUUUCUACCGUACCAUUGCGGAGGAGGUAUGGCUAAAGUCUAACAAAGGUUACGAGGCCUUUAAAUCAAGACUUUCUACUCUGAAGUCUAGACAAGAUGCAUUGACUGAUGUCAAUGUCAGCAUCGUUGGGGUAUACGGCAUGGGCGGCAUUGGAAAGACAACACUGGUGAAGGAGUUUGCAACGCAAGCCAGUGAAGAGAAACUCUUUGAUCAGGUGGUUUUUUCAGAGGUUUCCCAAACUCCAGACAUAAAAAAGAUUCAAGGGGAAAUUGCAGAGAAACUAGGUCUGGAGUUGUCCGAGGAGGCUGAAUCUAGAAGAGCUAGUAGACUUUAUGAACGAUUGAAGAAAGAGAAGAUGAUCCUUGUGAUUCUGGAUAACAUCUGGAAAUAUCUUGAUUUAGAGACUGUUGGAAUUCCUUUUGACGAUGAUCAUAGAGGAUGCAAAUUAUUAUUAACAGCAAGGGAUCGUAAUGUCUUGUUAAGUAUGGGAUCUGAAAAUAACUUCUUGAUUGGCAUUCUAAAUGAGCAUGAAGCUUGGAGGUUGUUCAAGAUAAUGGCUGGUAAUUUUGUUGAAAAUCGUGAGUUAAAAUCUACAGCAACAAAUGUAGCCAAGGCAUGUGGAGGUUUGCCUAUUGCUCUAACCACAGUAGCAAAGGCACUGAGAAACAAAGAGCUGCCUGUGUGGAAGAACGCCUUGCAAGAACUCCAAACGCCUUCAGAGGCAAGCUUCGAUGAAGGAGUACCAGUAGAGGCAUACUCAACAAUUGAGCUAAGUUACAAGUAUUUAAGAGGUGAGCAACUAAAGAAAACUUUUUUACUGUGUAGUCUAAUUACACCAACUUCAAUUAUGGACUUGUUCAAAUAUAGCAUAGGCUUGGGUGCAUUUGAAAGUGUCCAUAAGAUAGAAGAUGCACAUAACAAAUUACAUGCAUGGGUCCAUCAACUAAGAGACUCUUGUUUGUUGCUUGAGGAUGGUGGCAGUAAAUUCUUUUCCAUGCAUGAUGUUGUUCGCGAUGUUGCCAUUUCAAUAGCACGUCGUGACAAAAUUGCAUUUGCGGUGAGAAAUGAGGAUGUGUGGAACUGGCCAGAUGCAGAUGCACUAAAAAAAUAUUUUGCAAUUUGUUUAAAAGAUAGUAUUAUUAAUGACAUUCCUGAAGUGUUGGAAUCUACACAACUUGAAUUUUUAUUCAUGUCACCCAAGAACUCUUUUGUUGGGCCCAAUGUUCCUGAGAACUUCUUCAAAAGGACGAAAAAGCUUCGGGUUUUGGAUUUGACUAGAAUGCGGUUAUUGUCAUUGCCAUCUUCAAU
rnacentral:lncRNA from 1 species